rnacentral:rRNA from 1 species
AUGAACGCUAGCGACAGGCCUAACACAUGCAAGUCGAGGGGCAGCACAAGGAGCAAUCUGAGGUGGCGACCGGCGCACGGGUGAGUAACACGUAUGCAACCUGCCUGUAAGCGGGGAAUAACCCGUUGAAAGACGGACUAAUACCGCAUAAUACUAAAUUACUGCAUGGUAAUUUAUUUAAACAUUUAUGGCUUACAGAUGGGCAUGCGCAUGAUAGCUAGUUGGAGAGGUAACGGCUCCCCAAGGCAACGAUCAUUAGGGGUUCUGAGAGGAAGGUCCCCCACACUGGUACUGAGACACGGACCAGACUCCUACGGGAGGCAGCAGUGAGGAAUAUUGGUCAAUGGACGAGAGUCUGAACCAGCCAAGUCGCGUGCAGGAAGAAUGUCCCUAUGGAUUGUAAACUGCUUUUGCAGGGGAAUAAAGUGCAUCACGUGUGAUGUUUUGUAUGUACUCUGCGAAUAAGGAUCGGCUAACUCCGUGCCAGCCGCGGC